GUCCACAUAGCUCAGUCGGAUAGAGCAACUGCCUUCUAAGCAGUAGGCCGGGGGUUCGAGUCCCUCUGUGGACGCCA
rnacentral:tRNA from 1 species